UACGAAGGGGGCUAGCGUUGCUCGGAAUUACUGGGCGUAAAGCGCACGUAGGCGGCUUGCCAAGUCGGACGUGAAAUCCCUCAGCUCAACUGAGGACGUGCAUCCGAAACUGGCGAGCUUGAGUACUGAAGAGGAUCGCGGAAUUCCCGGUGUAGAGGUGAAAUUCGUAGAUAUCGGGAGGAACACCAGUGGCGAAGGCGGCGAUCUGGGCAGAUACUGACGCUGAGGUGCGAAAGCGUGGGGAGCAAACAGG
rnacentral:rRNA from 1 species